GUUGUUGUUUCAGAACUGUCAAAGCUGGGAACUUUGGAAAACAGCACACAGAGCACUGGCCUUGUGCCUGUCAUUCACUACUCCCUUCCUCUUCUCAUGGGCAGAGAGAGUCACAAGAUGCCCAGACAGCUCACCAAUGGCAAGUCAUCAUCACUCUUGAGGGUAGUGCCUUCUCGCAGGGGGGAAAAAAGGAGGGCCUUAUCUACACUGGUGGGUAAACAUGGAGCAACUUUUCAUCACCUCCACUGUGCUGUGAUCCAGCUUAACACCACUAAGAGCACAUACACUCCAAGUUUGGCCGAACGGGCCAACAGGACAGGCUAACAUCGAAGAUAACAGCAACGGACUGAAUGUCAGGAAAUUACGAUGAACAUGUGAACAAUACAGAAGAAGUUUGGAAGGGAAUGUGCCUUUCACGCUUUCUUUUCUGUAGGAGGAAAUGACUGAUCUGAGAGCCUGGCCAUGAAGAGACUCCAGUCCCAUUUACAAGCUGAUAAAUGGGUAAAACAAUCAA